rnacentral:lncRNA from 1 species
CCUCCAGCCCAGACUUAGCCAAUUUUCAGCUUCGUCCGUUUUCGCUCCGUUUUCGUCCGUUUGACCUCCGAUUCGUCUCAAAUCGAACCGAGACUCUCCAAACAUAUUUUCAAACAUGUUUUCAUCAUCUUUCCAUCCUCGCUAAUGCCGGAUUUAGCUCACGGCCCAAUUUAGCCUUUCGGGUUCCGUUUCCGCACCUACGCGCACCGAAACGCCCGAUAGCUCUCGAACUUCACCGAACUUCACCGGAACCAUUCAAAUAGCUCUCCAAUCGAAUGUACACCAUAACUUCAUGAUUUUAGAAGUUCGGUACCGGAUCUCUUUCUAUAUCUAUGUCACUUUAUUUGCAUCCUAAUAUCACAGAAAGGUGGGGGGUGCUGUC